rnacentral:rRNA from 1 species
UACGGAGGGAGCUAGCGUUGUUCGGAAUUACUGGGCGUAAAGCGUACGUAGGCGACCAUUCAAGUCAGAGGUGAAAGCCCAGGGCUCAACUGGGGAGGGUCACUCGAUACUGAUCGACUCGAAGGCAGGAGAGGGAAGCGGAAUUCCCGGUGUAGUGGUGAAAUGCGUAGAUAUCGUAAGGAAGACCAGUGGCGAAAGCGGCUCACUGGACCAUAACUGACGCUGAGGCGCGAAAGCUAGGGGAGCAAACAGG